UUUCGUCAAUUAUUUUGAUCUUUAAUUUUUUGACAUUGUGUGAUUUUGGCAGUUGUUUUCUUUUGAAAAUAAAAUACAAUGUAUGCACCAGGAAAUUCAUGUCAGUUCAUUCCGAAUUUUGGGAAAGCAGAAAAAGUCUAAAUUGCGAUCAGAAUGAGUCAAUGCGGUCUGUAAAUUUAUUCAUUUGAUUAAAAUCACGGCUCGUAACCGAUUUUUCAAACCAAAAUUAAGAUGCGAGGAGGAUGCAUCGCAGCCGGCGGGAUUUAGCAGAGCAGAUAUGGGUCACGAUGGAACGACUAAUUUAGUCGUUAAGAUCGCUUACGUUCUCGGAUGGAUUUUUGUCGCGAGUUAUUAUUUCGCUUGGGGAGCGAGAGAAAGUACGAUAGACGAGCCUGUGGACCAAACCGGCUGGGCCCCUGACGGUGCAUAUGGCAAACGUUUGAGAUGAUUCGAGAAUAUCAAGAAAAUGGAUUUCAAAAGAUCAAUAAAUAAAAUGGGACUUUGACAAACGUA